rnacentral:rRNA from 1 species
AUGCGCAGAUUUCAGGAGGAACACCGAUGGCGAAGGCAGGUCUCUGGGCUGUUACUGACGCUGAGGAGCGAAAGCAUGGGGAGCGAACAGGAUUAGAUACCCUGGUAGUCCAUGCCGUAAACGUUGGGCAMUAGGUGUGGGGAACAUUCCACGUUUUCCGCGCCGUAGCUAACGCAUUAAGUGCCCCGCCUGGGGAGUACGGCCGCAAGGCUAAAACUCAAAGGAAUUGACGGGGGCCCGCACAAGCGGCGGAGCAUGCGGAUUAAUUCGAUGCAACGCGAAGAACCUUACCAAGGCUUGACAUACACCGGACCGGGCCAGAGAUGGUCUUUCCCCCUUGUGGGGCUGGUGUACAGGUGGUGCAUGGUUGUCGUCAGCUCGUGUCGUGAGAUGUUGGGUUAAGUCCCGCAACGAGCGCAACCCUCGUUCUAUGUUGCCAGCACGUGAUGGUGGGGACUCAUAGGAGACUGCCGGGGUCAACUCGGAGGAAGGUGGGGAUGACGUCAAAUCAUCAUGCCCCUUAUGUCUUGGGCUUCACGCMUGCUACAAUGGCCAGUACAAUGGGUUGCGAUGCCGUGAGGUGGAGCUAAUCCCAAAAAGCUGGUYUCAGUUCGGAUCGUGGUCUGCAACUCGACCACGUGAAGUCGGAGUCGCUAGUAAUCGCAGAUCAGCAACGCUGCGGUGAAUACGUUCCCGGGCCUUGUACACACCGCCCGUCAA